GGUAGAAUGGCCGAGAGUUAGGCAGUGGAUUGUAGCUCCAAGUACAGGGGUUCAAGCCCUCUUUUUACCA
rnacentral:tRNA from 1 species